rnacentral:rRNA from 1 species
GCUCAGAUUGAACGCUGGCGGCAGGCCUAACACAUGCAAGUCGAGCGGUAGAGAGAAGCUUGCUUCUCUUGAGAGCGGCGGACGGGUGAGUAAUGCCUAGGAAUCUGCCUGGUAGUGGGGGAUAACGUUCGGAAACGGACGCUAAUACCGCAUACGUCCUACGGGAGAAAGCAGGGGACCUUCGGGCCUUGCGCUAUCAGAUGAGCCUAGGUCGGAUUAGCUAGUUGGUGAGGUAAUGGCUCACCAAGGCGACGAUCCGUAACUGGUCUGAGAGGAUGAUCAGUCACACUGGAACUGAGACACGGUCCAGACUCCUACGGGAGGCAGCAGUGGGGAAUAUUGGACAAUGGGCGAAAGCCUGAUCCAGCCAUGCCGCGUGUGUGAAGAAGGUCUUCGGAUUGUAAAGCACUUUAAGUUGGGAGGAAGGGCAGUUACCUAAUACGUGAUUGUUUUGACGUUACCGACAGAAUAAGCACCGGCUAACUCUGUGC